AUGUGCCUUUCCACGCUUCCUGGCUAUCAGGAGCUUGUCUCUACUACACACUCCCACCAUGAAAUGUCUGCUUCACCACAGAAGAAAAAAACCAAUGAAACCAAACAACCAUGGACUGAAACCUCUAAAAACAUAAGCCAAAAUAAUAUUUACUCAGAGAAGUGGAUUGGGUAUUUUUUAUCACUGUGACAGGAAGUUGACUAACAGAUCAGGUCAACAGAAAUGCUGAAGAAGGAGUGCUCCCCGCCUUCCUCUCUUCCCAGCAUGCCUGCCACCCACCAUAAGUUAGGAGUGGAUGACAAGACAAUGUACCUGAAAGAUAGCAGGUCACCCUCUGCUCAGCCAGAGGGCAGGAAGAACAUCCAGUCAACAUCCUCGGGUUUACAGGAGUGGCCUGACUGGUGAGGCCAAGAAAAGUUUUUUAAGUGGCGAAGAAAUGGUUUGGUGCCAGCAGUGGUCACAGACACACUUUCUGUAGCACCCUGCCCUGUCAUGCCCCAGAGCACUGCUGAAGCUUGGCUCUCCCAGAAUUCCUCUGGGUCUGCAACGUUUUUUAGCUUUGGAACCACUCAUGCCUGUGGAGGAACCUGCAAUGUCCAGUGACCUAUGUGAAAAAAGAAAAGACAAACCAACAAAAGUUACCCAGCUAGGAUUGCAGAGUAAAACAAGCAGGAAGUUGAAUGUCAAGACUCAUGAUACAACUUAAAACUAACCCCCAUGGACAAUCCAUGGUUGGAACUCAUGCUGCCCAGCUAUGGUAUAAUAAACUGGAAUGCACUCUCUAAGCCUUGGAAAAGCUAAAAGAUACUGUGCAUUUGGACACACCAGCAAGGAGAAAGUGCUGUGGGCAGACUGAGCAAAGGCUGCUCCUGGAUGGACGCCCCGCUUCUGUGUUGGGAAGGAAGUGUGAGUCCCUGAGAAAGGGCUUUAUAAGUUUUUUAACUAACCAGAAGAGGACAGGUCUCUUGGCUAAAAACAAGCAAUAGCAAGGUUCAUUUUUGCC
rnacentral:lncRNA from 1 species